rnacentral:rRNA from 1 species
AGAGAUUACAAGCAUAAGCUCAAAACUCAAAGGACUUGGCGGCGCUUUAAACCCAUCUAGAGGAGCCUGUCCUAUAACCGAUAAUCCCCGUUAAACCUUACCUUCUCUUGCUCCCAGCCUAUAUACCGCCGUCGUCAGCCCACCCUGUGAAGGCCCACUAGUAGGCAAAACUGGUCCAGCCCAAAACGUCAGGUCGAGGUGUAGCAUAUUAGAAGUAAAGAGAUGGGCUACAUUUCCUACACAGGGAACCACGGAUAGUACAAUGAUAUGUGUACAUUGAAGAAGGAUUUAGCAGUAAGUAAAAAAUAGAGUGUUUUGCUGAAACCGGCCCUAAAGCGAGCACACACCGCCCGUCACUCUCUCCUAGUCUACCGCCCCAACCCUACAUAAAAAGCCUUACCAGCAAAGGAGAUACAAGUCGUAACAUGGUAAGUGUACUGGAAAGUGCACUUGGAUAAA